UACGUAGGGCGCAAGCGUUGUCCGGAAUUAUUGGGCGUAAAGCGCGUGUAGGCGGCUCGGUAAGUCUGCUGUGAAAGUCCAAGGCUCAACCUUGGAAAGCCGGUGGAUACUGUCGAGCUCGAGUCCGGAAGAGGCGAGUGGAAUUCCUGGUGUAGCGGUGAAAUGCGCAGAUAUCAGGAGGAACACCAAUGGCGAAGGCAGCUCGCUGGGACGGUACUGACGCUGAGACGCGAAAGCGUGGGGAGCAAACAGG
rnacentral:rRNA from 1 species